rnacentral:rRNA from 1 species
CCUUACCUGGCCUUGACAUACUAAGAACUUCCAGAGAUGGAUUGGUGCCUUCGGGAACUUAGAUACAGGUGCUGCAUGGCUGUCGUCAGCUCGUGUCGUGAGAUGUUGGGUUAAGUCCCGCAACGAGCGCAACCCUUUUCCUUAUUUGCCAGCGGGUUAAGCCGGGAACUUUAAGGAUACUGCCAGUGACAAACUGGAGGAAGGCGGGGACGACGUCAAGUCAUCAUGGCCCUUACGGCCAGGGCUACACACGUGCUACAAUGGUCGGUACAAAGGGUUGCUACCUCGCGAGAGGAUGCUAAUCUCAAAAAGCCGAUCGUAGUCCGGAUCGCAGUCUGCAACUCGACUGCGUGAAGUCGGAAUCGCUAGUAAUCGCGGAUCAGAAUGCCGCGGUGAAUACGUUCCCGGGCCUUGUACACACCGCCCGUCACACCAUGGGAGUUUGUUGCACCAGAAGUAGGUAGUCUAACCGCAAGGAGGACGCUUACCACGGUGUGGCCGAUGACUGGGGUGAAGUCGUAACAAGGUAGGCGUAGAUGA